rnacentral:rRNA from 1 species
GAUGAACGCUAGCGGCAGGCUUAAUACAUGCAAGUCGAGGGGCAGCGGGGGUAGCAAUACCUGCCGGCGACCGGCAAACGGGUGCGGAACACGUACAGAACCUUCCUUUAAGUGGGGGAUAGCCCGAAGAAAUUCGGAUUAAUACCCCGUAAUAUUAUGGAGUGGCAUCACUUUAUAAUUAAAGAUUUAUCGCUUAGAGAUGGCUGUGCGGCUGAUUAGGUAGUUGGUGUAGGUAACGGCNCACCAAGCCUUCGAUCAGUAACUGGUGUGAGAGCACGACCAGUCACACGGGCACUGAGACACGGGCCCGACUCCUACGGGAGGCAGCAGUAAGGAAUAUUGGGCAA